rnacentral:rRNA from 1 species
CGCGCAGCCACCUUAACCAAUGGACGGAAAUAACCCCGGAAGACUAAAAAUAAGGCCCAAAAAAACAUUAUGCCGGGAAGGGUUAAUGUUCAAAAUGAUUUACCGCCGAAGGAGGGGACGGCGGCCAAUCUUUUUGUGGGGGAGGAAAGGCCCCACCAAAAUAAUAACAGGUCCGGCUUCUAAAAGAAGAACCCCGAAAAUGGUAACUGAAACACGAACCCAGGCCUUAGGGGGCCAACCAGGCAAAAAAAUUUUGCAUGGGGCAAAACCACAACAAGGUUAAUCCAAUUGUUUUCUGCUAAAAAAACUUUUUGUCAUCCCAAAAACCAUUGAUAAAAAAGGGGGGGGCAAUUUCUGGUGCCACCCCCCGCGAAAAACCCACCCCCUCAGGUGGUAAGAAUAAUUAUGGGGCCAAAACCAUCCUAACCCGCCUCUGUAAUUUUUCGGUUAAAUCUGUCCCCUCAACGAAUAGGCGGCCGGAAAUACUGCAAAGCUAGGGAGUGGAAAAGGAAAACGGUCCUCGGAAGGAAGGGUAAAAAUCUUUUGAUUUAUUGAUAACCACCGGGGACGAAGGCGUUCUACAAAAACACGUCCAACGGUGAGGAAUAAAAGCUGGGGAACCAAACCGAAUUAAAUACCUGGGUAGCCCCAGCUGUAAACUAUGCAAAUUCAUUGAUGCAUUGGUUUGUGACCAAUGAAUUGCUGCAGGAAACCCGUUAAUUUUGCCGCCAGGAAAUUACUUACGCAAUUAUAAAACUCAAAGGAAUUGACGG